rnacentral:rRNA from 1 species
AGCAGCCGCGGUAAUUCCAGCUCCAAUAGCGUAUAUUAAAGUUGUUGCAGUUAAAAAGCUCGUAGUUGAAUUUCGGGAUCAGUACGCCGGUCGUGCCUUCGGUAUGCACUGGUGUCACUGAUUCCUCCCUUCUGAAGAACCGUUAUGCCAUUUAUUUGGUGUGGCGGGGAAUCAGGACUGUUACUUUGAAAAAAUUAGAGUGUUUAAAGCAGGCUCGCGCUUGAAUACAUUAGCAUGGAAUAAUGAAAUAGGACGUUUGAUCUUAUUUUGUUGGUUUCUAGGAUCGACGUAAUGAUUAAUAGGGAUAGUUGGGGGCAUUAGUAUUCAAUUGUCAGAGGUGAAAUUUUUGGAUUUAUUGAAGACUAACUACUGCGAAAGUAUUUGCCAAGGAUGUUUUCAUUAAUCAAGAACGAAAGUUAGGGGAUCGAAGACGAUCAGAUACCGUCGUAGUCUUAACCAUAAACUAUGCCGACUAGGGAUCGGAUGAUGUUAUUUUUAAUGACUCAUUCGGCGCCUUAAC